GACGAACGCUGGCGGCGUGCUUAACACAUGCAAGUCGAACGGAAAGGCCCUGCUUUUGUGGGGUGCUCGAGUGGCGAACGGGUGAGUAACACGUGAGUAACCUGCCCUUGACUUUGGGAUAACUUCAGGAAACUGGGGCUAAUACCGGAUAGGAGCUCCUGCUGCAUGGUGGGGGUUGGAAAGUUUCGGCGGUUGGGGAUGGACUCGCGGCUUAUCAGCUUGUUGGCGGGGUAGUGGCUUACCAAGGCUUUGACGGGUAGCCGGCCUGAGAGGGUGACCGGCCACAUUGGGACCGAGAUACGGCCCAGACUCCUACGGGAGGCAGCAGUGGGGAAUAUUGCACAAUGGGCGGAAGCCUGAUGCAGCAACGCCGCGUGCGGGAUGACGGCCUUCGGGUUGUAAACCGCUUUCGCCUGUGACGAAGCGUGAGUGACGGUAAUGGGUAAAGAAGCACCGGCUAACUACGUG
rnacentral:rRNA from 1 species